rnacentral:rRNA from 1 species
GUGAGGAAUAUUGGUCAAUGGAGGCAACUCUGAACCAGCCAUGCCGCGUGCAGGAAGACGGCCCUCUGGGUUGUAAACUGCUUUUAUCUGGGAAUAAACCUGCUUACGUGUAAGUAGCUGAAUGUACCAGAAGAAUAAGGAUCGGCUAACUCCGUGCCAGCAGCCGCGGUAAUACGGAGGAUCCAAGCGUUAUCCGGAUUUAUUGGGUUUAAAGGGUGCGUAGGCGGCCUGUUAAGUCAGGGGUGAAAGACGGUGGCUCAACCAUCGCAGUGCCCUUGAUACUGAUGGGCUUGAAUGGACUAGAGGUAGGCGGAAUGAGACAAGUAGCGGUGAAAUGCAUAGAUAUGUCUCAGAACACCGAUUGCGAAGGCAGCUUACUAUGGUCUUAUUGACGCUGAGGCACGAAAGCGUGGGGAUCGAACAGGAUUAGAAACCCCAGUAGUCC